rnacentral:lncRNA from 1 species
AAGCAUGCCAAAUUAAUCACACUUCUUAAACACAUCUCUUGACCGGGGUGUUCUCACCAUGCCCUUUCUACAAACAAAAAUAAAGAAUGAAGAUGUGGAGACCUGGAGACAGGUGGCACCUCGUGCUUCCUCCGAAGGGAGAGCCCAUUUCCUAACAGCUGGAUCAAAGGCAUGAAAUGAACAUGGAGUCCCUGAAGAUGAAGAGAAGGCAUGGCUUCCAGGGAGAAAUUGUACAUUACAGGAAUGCAGAUGUGAUUCCUAUGGAUGAGGGUAACCUAGAGGCUAGAAGAACAAUAGGACAGAAGAAGCCUGGGUCCCUGAACAACCUUGUGGAGCAUAGACACCUACGUGGCCUGGACUGCCAGCUCACAAUGGGCCUCUCUGUGAGAGAAGGAAACUUCCCUCUUGUUUAAGCAACUGUGCUUUUGAGAAUCUCUUGGUCUAUACCCUAAUGAAUAAGGCCAUCAUAAAUGGAUAUCAAAGUAAGGAAAUUUGUGUAAAUGAUUUAAUAAAACAUUACCUCAGGUAUGAAAUAA